UACAGAGGUCUCGAGCGUUUGUUCGGAUUCAUUGGGCGUAAAGGGUGCGUAGGUGGCGCUGUAAGUCGGGUGUGAAAUCCUGGGGCUUAACCCCGGAACUGCAUUCGAUACUGCAGUGCUUGAGGACUGGAGAGGAGACUGGAAUUCAUGGUGUAGCAGUGAAAUGCGUAGAGAUCAUGAGGAAGACCAGUGGCGAAGGCGGGUCUCUGGACAGUUCCUGACACUGAGGCACGAAGGCCAGGGGAGCAAACGGG
rnacentral:rRNA from 1 species